GACAGAGGAGCCAAGCGUUGUCCGGAUUGACUGGGCGUAAAGCGCACGCAGGCGGGUGCGCGCGUGGGGUGUGAAACCUGGCCGCUUAACGGCCAGCGGCCAUCCCAUACGGCGCGCCUGGAGCCUUGCAGAGGGCGGUGGAAUUGCCGGUGUAGUGGUGAAAUGCGUAGAGAUCGGCAGGAACACCCAGGGAGAAAUCAGCCGCCUGGGCAAGUGCUGAC
rnacentral:rRNA from 1 species